rnacentral:ncRNA from 1 species
CUAAGCCACCCCUACUUUGGUUCGGCGGGGUAACCCGUCGUUAAAGGGAACGCGGUGCGGGAAACCAUCCCCAAAUCCGUGACUGCCCCCGCAACUGUAAGCGGUGAGCGCGACCGUCAUAUGCCACUGGGGGGUCACCCUCGGGAAGGCACGGCCCCGCAUCGACCCGCAAGUCAGGAGACCUGCCAAAGCGAUCACCCGGAUA